GCUGCUGAUUGUAGUGAUUGGAGAAUCAGCACUGAUCUACAAACUGAUCCACAACAGGACACGAGGGUCUGUAUCUACAAACACUGAGAGAAGAUCACAGAACAAAGCCAAUGGUGAUUAUGAAGAUCCUCUUGAAAAACAGAACAUCAGCAUGGGUCCAGUCUACCAGAGCCUGAACCCCAACACCAACCAAUCAGAUUCAGUCUACCAGAGCUUAAACUCCAACACCACCCAAUCAGAUUCAGUCUACCAGAGCCUAAACCCAAACACCAACCAAUCAGAUUCUGUCUACCAGAGCCUGGACCCCAAAACCAAAUAAAAAGAUUCAGUCUACCAGAGCUUAAUCCCCAACAUAAACCAAUCAGAUUCA